AUUGAACGCUGGCGGCAGGCAUAACACAUGCAAGUCGAGCGAGCGGCGGAAGGGUGAGUAAUGUCGGGGAAACUGCCUGAUGGAGUGGGAUAAAUACUGGAAACGGUAGCGAAUACCGCAUACAACCAGAUGUGCACAGAUGGGAUUAGCUAGUAGGUGGGGUAAGGCCUCAACAAGGCGACGAUCACUAGCUGGUCUGAGAGGAUGACCAGCCACACUGGAACUGAGCCACGGUCCAGACUCCUACGGGAGGCAGCAGUGGAGAAUAUUGCACAAUGGGCGCAAGCCUGCUGCAGCCAUGCCGCGUGUGUGAAGAAGGCCUUCGGGUUGUAAAGCACUUUCAGCGGGGAGGCGUUACCCGCAGAAGAAGCACCGGCUAACUCCGUGCCAGCAGCCGCGGUAAUAC
rnacentral:rRNA from 1 species